GUGUUUGCUUCAGCAGCACAUAUACUAAAACUGGAAUGAUACAGAGAUUAGCACCGCCCCUGUGCAAAGAUGAUACACAAAUUCAUGCAGCGUUUCAUAUUUUU
ensembl:snRNA U6 U6 spliceosomal RNA